rnacentral:rRNA from 1 species
GGAGGAUCCGAGCGUUAUCCGGAUUUAUUGGGUUUAAAGGGAGCGUAGGUGGAUUGUUAAGUCAGUUGUGAAAGUUUGCGGCUCAACCGUAAAAUUGCAGUUGAAACUGGCAGUCUUGAGUACUGUAGAGGGGGGUAGAAUUCCAGGUGUAGCGGUGAAAUGCGUAGAGAUCUGGAGGAAUACCGGUGGCGAAGGCGGCCCCCUGGACAAAGACUGACGCUCAGGUGCGAAAGCGUGGGGAGCAAACAGGAUUAGAUACCCUGGUAGUCCACGCCGUAAACGAUGUCGACUUGGAGGUUGUUCCCUUGAGGAGUGGCUUCCGGAGCUAACGCGUUAAGUCGACCGCCUGGGGAGU